UGGGGAAUAUUGGACAAUGGGGGCAACCCUGAUCCAGCAAUGCCGCGUGUGUGAAGAAGGCCUUCGGGUUGUAAAGCACUUUAGGUUGGGAGGAAGACGUGGAGUUUAAGAGAUACUACGUUUGACUGUACCGACAGAAUAAGCACCGGCUAACUCUGUGCCAGCAGCCGCGGUAAUACAGAGGGUGCGAGCGUUAAUCGGAAUUACUGGGCGUAAAGGGUGCGUAGGUGGUUUUGUAAGUUAGAUGUGAAAUCCCUGGGCUUAACCUAGGAAGGUCAUCUAAGACUGCGGGACUGGAGUAUGGUAGAGGGUAGUGGAAUUUCCGGUGUAGCGGUGAAAUGCGUAGAUAUCGGAAGGAACACCAGUGGCGAAGGCGGCUACCUGGACUAAUACUGACACUGAGGCACGAAAGCGUGGGGAGCAAACAGG
rnacentral:rRNA from 1 species